AGCUAAAUCUGAAGUAUAGAGAAGGCAAAAAUCUUCCAUUUCUUACCAAGUCAGGAUAAAAAACAACGGGUCCUGAUUUUGACAUGCUCAGCACUGAAGCCCAUGGAUGUCCAAGUAAGAAGGAUGGAUAAUGAAUGACAGAAUCGACUGUGCAGAGACAGUGUGGGAUGACUAACGAGGUUUCCCUCACAAUACAAGCUGCUCCUGGGCCCAGCUGCUCAGACUGCACGAUGCAGCUCUCCCAGACACCCAAGGGGACUUAAGCAUCAUGAUGAGGAGCUCCAGAGGAAAGUUAUUUCUUGGCUGUGAUAUUGAAAAAAAAAAUAACUGAGCAGAAAGGGAACUUGAAUUAAGCAUUUCAUGAAAAUGAGAAUACUGCAUGUGGAUCAUUCAACCACAACGUCCUCAUGGCCCAUCUCAAAGCCCGGAAGCUCACCUCAUCUUAGCCAAGCCCUGCCCCAGGGCCUGUGGCUCUCAGAGUCCCUGAGUCCAACACUGCAGAGGCAGGGCACGUCCAGGACACUGCUGCGCACCAGAUGAUCUCGAGCCCACCAGUGGGUCCUGCUGUGCUUCUCCCGUGUUCCUGGGCACAUCUGUCAGAACCCCAGCAUGGCCCCACUGUCCCAAGCCCACAGUGACUCUGCAAUCUUACCAGCCCAGGGGUGGCUGAGAUGGCAAGAAUGUAGGGUUUUCACAGAAAGUACAGGAU